GGUUAAGCGACUAAGCGUACACGGUGGAUGCCCUGGCAGUCAGAGGCGAUGAAGGACGUGCUAAUCUGCGAUAAGCGUCGGUAAGGUGAUAUGAACCGUUAUAACCGGCGAUUUCCGAAUGGGGAAACCCAGUGUGAUUCGUCACACUAUCAUUAACUGAAUCCAUAGGUUAAUGAGGCGAACCGGGGGAACUGAAACAUCUAAGUACCCCGAGGAAAAGAAAUCAACCGAGAUUCCCCCAGUAGCGGCGAGCGAACGGGGAGCAGCCCAGAGCCUGAAUCAGUGUGUGUGUUAGUGGAAGCGUCUGGAAAGGCGUGCGAUACAGGGUGACAGCCCCGUACACAAAAAUGCACAUGCUGUGAGCUCGAUGAGUAGGGCGGGACACGUGGUAUCCUGUCUGAAUAUGGGGGGACCAUCCUCCAAGGCUAAAUACUCCUGACUGACCGAUAGUGAACCAGUACCGUGAGGGAAAGGCGAAAAGAACCCCGGCGAGGGGAGUGAAAAAGAACCUGAAACCGUGUACGUACAAGCAGUGGGAGCACAGAGCAAUCUGUGUGACUGCGUACCUUUUGUAUAAUGGGUCAGCGACUUAUAUUCUGUAGCAAGGUUAACCGAAUAGGGGAGCCGAAGGGAAACCGAGUCUUAACUGGGCGUUAAGUUGCAGGGUAUAGACCCGAAACCCGGUGAUCUAGCCAUGGGCAGGUUGAAGGUUGGGUAACACUAACUGGAGGACCGAACCGACUAAUGUUGAAAAAUUAGCGGAUGACUUGUGGCUGGGGGUGAAAGGCCAAUCAAACCGGGAGAUAGCUGGUUCUCCCCGAAAGCUAUUUAGGUAGCGCCUCGUGAAUUCAUCUCCGGGGGUAGAGCACUGUUUCGGCAAGGGGGUCAUCCCGACUUACCAACCCGAUGCAAACUGCGAAUACCGGAGAAUGUUAUCACGGGAGACACACGGCGGGUGCUAACGUCCGUCGUGAAGAGGGAAACAACCCAGACCGCCAGCUAAGGUCCCAAAGUCAUGGUUAAGUGGGAAACGAUGUGGGAAGGCCCAGACAGCCAGGAUGUUGGCUUAGAAGCAGCCAUCAUUUAAAGAAAGCGUAAUAGCUCACUGGUCGAGUCGGCCUGCGCGGAAGAUGUAACGGGGCUAAACCAUGCACCGAAGCUGCGGCAGCGACGCUUAUGCGUUGUUGGGUAGGGGAGCGUUCUGUAAGCCUGCGAAGGUGUGCUGUGAGGCAUGCUGGAGGUAUCAGAAGUGCGAAUGCUGACAUAAGUAACGAUAAAGCGGGUGAAAAGCCCGCUCGCCGGAAGACCAAGGGUUCCUGUCCAACGUUAAUCGGGGCAGGGUGAGUCGACCCCUAAGGCGAGGCCGAAAGGCGUAGUCGAUGGGAAACAGGUUAAUAUUCCUGUACUUGGUGUUACUGCGAAGGGGGGACGGAGAAGGCUAUGUUGGCCGGGCGACGGUUGUCCCGGUUUAAGCGUGUAGGCUGGUUUUCCAGGCAAAUCCGGAAAAUCAAGGCUGAGGCGUGAUGACGAGGCACUACGGUGCUGAAGCAACAAAUGCCCUGCUUCCAGGAAAAGCCUCUAAGCAUCAGGUAACAUCAAAUCGUACCCCAAACCGACACAGGUGGUCAGGUAGAGAAUACCAAGGCGCUUGAGAGAACUCGGGUGAAGGAACUAGGCAAAAUGGUGCCGUAACUUCGGGAGAAGGCACGCUGAUAUGUAGGUGAAGUCCCUCGCGGAUGGAGCUGAAAUCAGUCGAAGAUACCAGCUGGCUGCAACUGUUUAUUAAAAACACAGCACUGUGCAAACACGAAAGUGGACGUAUACGGUGUGACGCCUGCCCGGUGCCGGAAGGUUAAUUGAUGGGGUCAGCGCAAGCGAAGCUCUUGAUCGAAGCCCCGGUAAACGGCGGCCGUAACUAUAACGGUCCUAAGGUAGCGAAAUUCCUUGUCGGGUAAGUUCCGACCUGCACGAAUGGCGUAAUGAUGGCCAGGCUGUCUCCACCCGAGACUCAGUGAAAUUGAACUCGCUGUGAAGAUGCAGUGUACCCGCGGCAAGACGGAAAGACCCCGUGAACCUUUACUAUAGCUUGACACUGAACAUUGAGCCUUGAUGUGUAGGAUAGGUGGGAGGCUUUGAAGUGUGGACGCCAGUCUGCAUGGAGCCGACCUUGAAAUACCACCCUUUAAUGUUUGAUGUUCUAACGUUGACCCGUGAUCCGGGUUGCGGACAGUGUCUGGUGGGUAGUUUGACUGGGGCGGUCUCCUCCUAAAGAGUAACGGAGGAGCACGAAGGUUGGCUAAUCCUGGUCGGACAUCAGGAGGUUAGUGCAAUGGCAUAAGCCAGCUUGACUGCGAGCGUGACGGCGCGAGCAGGUGCGAAAGCAGGUCAUAGUGAUCCGGUGGUUCUGAAUGGAAGGGCCAUCGCUCAACGGAUAAAAGGUACUCCGGGGAUAACAGGCUGAUACCGCCCAAGAGUUCAUAUCGACGGCGGUGUUUGGCACCUCGAUGUCGGCUCAUCACAUCCUGGGGCUGAAGUAGGUCCCAAGGGUAUGGCUGUUCGCCAUUUAAAGUGGUACGCGAGCUGGGUUUAGAACGUCGUGAGACAGUUCGGUCCCUAUCUGCCGUGGGCGCUGGAGAACUGAGGGGGGCUGCUCCUAGUACGAGAGGACCGGAGUGGACGCAUCACUGGUGUUCGGGUUGUCAUGCCAAUGGCACUGCCCGGUAGCUAAAUGCGGAAGAGAUAAGUGCUGAAAGCAUCUAAGCACGAAACUUGCCCCGAGAUGAGUUCUCCCUGANNNNNNNNNNNNNNNNNNNNNNNNNNNNNNNNNNNNNNNNNNNNNNNNNNNNNNNNNNNNNNNNNNNNNNNNNNNNNNNNNNNNNNNNNNNNNNNNNNNNAGAGUCAUUACCGAUAUUCGGCAGUAAGACUCCCAAUUGUGACCGAAAUCCCGUAGACUUAACGCCGCUAAAAAUAAAGGCCUGACCAA
rnacentral:rRNA from 1 species